rnacentral:rRNA from 1 species
GAUGAACGCGGCGGCGUGCUUAACACAUGCAAGUCGAACGAAGCUGUUGUUUGGAAACCUUCGGGUGGAAGAAUAACAGACUGAGUGGCGGACGGGUGAGUAACGCGUGGGUAACCUACCUUGCACAGGGGGACAACAGUUGGAAACGACUGCUAAUACCGCAUAAGACCACAGUACCGCAUGGUACAGGGGUAAAAACUGAGGUGGUGCAAGAUGGACCCGCGUCUGAUUAGCUAGUUGGUGGGGUAAAGGCCUACCAAGGCGACGAUCAGUAGCCGACCUGAGAGGGUGAUCGGCCACAUUGGGACUGAGACACGGCCCAAACUCCUACGGGAGGCAGCAGUGGGGAAUAUUGGACAAUGGGGGAAACCCUGAUCCAGCGACGCCGCGUGAGUGAAGAAGUAUUUCGGUAUGUAAAGCUCUAUUCAAGCAAGGGAAGAAAAUG